AGUGCAUCAGUAGGUGGCAGAGGAGAGAGGCUGUAUUUAUGCUCAGUGUUCUGACCUCUGAAGAUUUGAAUGAUUAGUACUUUUAACAUU
rnacentral:snoRNA from 1 species